AUUGAACGCUGGCGGCAGGCCUAACACAUGCAAGUCGAGCGGAUGAUGAGAGCUUGCUCUCUGAUUCAGCGGCGGACGGGUGAGUAAUGCCUAGGAAUCUGCCUGGUAGUGGGGGACAACGUUUCGAGAGGAACGCUAAUACCGCAUACGUCCUACGGGAGAAAGUGGGGGAUCUUCGGACCUCACGCUAUCAGAUGAGCCUAGGUACGAUUAGCUAGUUGGUGAGGUAAAGGCUCACCAAGGCGACGAUCGUUAACUGGUCUGAGAGGAUGGUCAGUCACACUGGAACUGAGACACGGUCCAGACUCCUACGGUAGGCAGCAGUGGGAAUAUUGGACAAUGGGCGAAAGCCUGAUCCAGCCAUGCCGCGUGUGUGAAGAGGGUCUUCGGAUUGUAAAGCACUUUAAGUUGGGAGGAAGGGCAGUAAGUUAAUACCUUGCUGUUUUGACGUUACCGACAGAAUAAGCACCGGCUAACUUCGUGCCAGCCGCCGCAGUAA
rnacentral:rRNA from 1 species